UACAGAGGGUGCGAGCGUUAUUCGGAAUUACUGGGCGUAAAGCGCGCGUAGGCGGCUUUGCAAGUCGAGUGUGAAAUCCCCAGGCUUAACCUGGGAACUGCAUUCGAGACUGCAUAGCUAGAGUAUGGGAGAGGGAAGUGGAAUUUCAGGUGUAGCGGCGAAAUGCGUAGAUAUCUGGAGGAACAUCAGUGGCGAAAGCGACUUCCUGGACCAAUACUGACGCUCAUGUGCGAAAGCGUGGGGAGCAAACAGG
rnacentral:rRNA from 1 species